rnacentral:lncRNA from 1 species
CAUGGAAAUAUUUCUCUGAGCUUUUCUGCCAUGAAUCCUACAUGAAGAAGGCCUUUGAUUCUCACAGGGGAAAAUCCAUUUUGCCAGAGAGCAAACUCUCUCAGCUCUCUAACUAUGCAUCUAGUCUCCAUCACUCUAAGUCAUGCACAUGAGAAGGUCUGGGAGAAAAAUUUGGCAGAUUAGCCCUGAGCUAACAUCUGCCGCCAACACUACUUUUUUGCUGAGGAAGACUGGCCCUGAGCUAACAUCCAUGCCCAUCUUCCUCUACUUUAUAUGUGAGACACCUGCCACAGCAUGGCUCCACAAGCAGUGCAGGUCUGCACCAGGGAUCUCAACCAGUGAACUCCGGGCCACCAAAGUGGAAUGUGCGAACUUAACCACUGUGCCACUGUGCUGGCCCUUCUUUAACAUUUCAUGUCUUUCUUUUUUCAAAAUGUUAUCUGGGG